AUCAAAUGCAACAUCUGCUGGGAGCUGUUUGUCAUAAAGAUGUCCGCGCUGUGAAAGACAGUGCUAUUGUACUGAGGGCUGACAGAGUGGAGACCUUGGACGCUGAGCCGACUGCAUUGGGGCCUGAAAAGAUGAUGAUAGCUAGUCUAUUCUGGCAAAACAACAGCAGAGGAGUGGAUUAUUCAGCUCAGCCACAAGGGAGGCACUAACUAGCUCUCCACUGACCUGGUAUCCUUGGGAUGGUGAUCUGCCUGCUACUGCUGCCUUCCCCUCCCUCUCCAAAUGGCUUUAUCUGGAUGAUAUAAUCCUCAUCAGUGGGCAGGGCGAGCUCCACAGAAGUGGUGUUGGUUUCCAUGACAUUGGGCCGGCUGUGUCGAUUCUUCUUGUAGAGCACCUGAUGAUGAGUCGCGCAAGUCAUGUCAAGAGUCAGGCACAGAGAGCCAUGAAAACAAACACCAUUUUCUGAUAAAUAAAACCAAACAACUGGGUGCUUA